GAACAAAAAAAAAAAGAACAAAAUGUCAAACUCCCUGGUCCCGAGUGAAUUGAUGGACCCGAAUGUGUCAGAGUUCCUCCGGAAAGGUAUUGCCGGAGACUGGAAGAAUCAUCUAACUGUAGCAGAGGCGGAUUACUUUGAUGAAUUUUACCGAAAGAAAAUGCAGGAUGUAAAAUACACAUUUGUUUGGGAUUAGAAAUAUAUUUAUUGUGUUAUCUAAAAUGGCCUAGGACAAAAGUAGCCAACCCAUUGAACAGUGCUAUCAUUAAUGAUCACAAUCAGAGUCUGAAAUUUGUUUUUGUAUAUUCAUUUGGUCUUGUCAUCUUAGUUAGGCUUCUUCAGAACAGGUGUAACAUAAUAGCUGUCUAAUAACUAUAAGGAAAUUGUUCAGUUUUUUCUCUCUAUGAAGUGUGUAACUUUCCUGGGACUAGCUGAGAAAAUAUUUGACUGACUUACUUGAUGAAUACAAACUGUGAUUUCAUUAAGAUCCAUUCAAAUUCUUGAAAUAAAUUAUAUCUCACAUAUAUGUCUCUUCCAAGUUUUUGGUCGAUGACACAUUCCAUAUCUGUAAAUAAAAGGUUAUAAUCUGAUAAUAAAAACUUGGGUUUCAACUAAUACAUCACAAAGCACAUAAAUGCUUGAUCAGAUGAAACAGCACCACUUUGCACUUUUGCUUAACUUUUGUUAAGAAAUAUUCUUUCGAACUUAACUAAUAUUGUGAACCAGGUCAGAUAUAAAAUGAAUGUGAAUUGGUUUACGAAAGCGCAAUGACAAGCACACGCUAGAUAACCCAUCGUGGCAAAUCUUUAAGCUGCAGUUUAGUGCAGUGAAUACUAUAUUAUCAUCAGACAUGGGGAGAUUCUCGUUUAUACUACCUACUAUAAAAUGUUUUGUUUUAUGUACUUUAAAUGUUUGUUGUAUGUUAUAUAUUCUUAUUCAUCAAGUGCUUUUCGAACACUUUGGAAAAGUGGUUUUUAAUGUUGUAGUCAAACCUCUUCCUAGUGUAUUUUCUAAAGACCUUGUGAUGUAUUCACGCCUCUUUCCACACGUGUUCUUUUUGAAAGCUGGAACAUCUCGUACUAGUACUGAAUGGCAUCUCAUUAGGCUGUAAAGCGGCCCUUCUGGUCUCCCUCUCUCUCC